rnacentral:tRNA from 1 species
AAAGGGAGACCUAAUUCAGGUAAAAGACGAAAAAAAAGUAGUCCCUACCAGGAAUCAAUCCCAAAAGGUCGGAGCGAGGCGAAAUUGGCUUUCAAACUAGGUUCUGGGUUCAAACAAGACCUGAAUCAGGAACAAGGGCUAUUAGCUCAGGUGGUUAGAGCGCACCCCUGAUAAGGGUGAGGUCCCUGGUUCGAGUCCAGGAUGGCCCACCUGCACAGGUGGCAAAAACAAGAGAAGCGAGGAAUCAGCACCUUAUCUUACUUAUAUAGUAAGAGAGAAUGCUGGCUCUGAGUAAAGAGUCCAGAGGAACCUUGAAAACUGCAUAGAGCUAGGUGAAAAAGCCAAAAAAGAAGACCGCAAG